GUCGGACAUCAGGAGGUUAGUGCAAUGGCAUAAGCCAGCUUGACUGCGAGCGUGACGGUGCGAGCAGGUGCGAAAGCAGGUCAUAGUGAUCCGGUGGUUCUGAAUGGAAGGGCCAUCGCUCAACGGAUAAAAGGUACUCCGGGGAUAACAGGCUGAUACCGCCCAAGAGUUCAUAUCGACGGCGGUGUUUGGCACCUCGAUGUCGGCUCAUCACAUCCUGGGGCUGAAGUAGGUCCCAAGGGUAUGGCUGUUCGCCAUUUAAAGUGGUACGCGAGCUGGGUUUAGAACGUCGUGAGACAGUUCGGUCCCUAUCUGCCGUGGGCGCUGGAGAACUGAGGGGGGCUGCUCCUAGUACGAGAGGACCGGAGUGGACGCAUCACUGGUGUUCGGGUUGUCAUGCCAAUGGCACUGCCCGGUAGCUAAAUGCGGAAGAGAUAAGUGCUGAAAGCAUCUAAGCACGAAACUUGCCCCGAGAUGAGUUCUCCCUGACUCCUUGAGAGUCCUGAAGGAACGUUGAAGACGACGACGUUGAUAGGCCGGGUGUGUAAGCGCAGCGAUGCG
rnacentral:rRNA from 1 species